rnacentral:rRNA from 1 species
ACAUACGACCAUAGGAUCUUGAGAACAAGGCUUCCCGUUCGCUCAGCCCUAUUUAAGCAAGAUACCGGCGGAUUAGUAGUUAGGUGGGUGACCAC